rnacentral:lncRNA from 1 species
GAGAAAAACUUCUGCAAGGAAACUUUAAAGCUGCCAGCUGCUGGGUCCAGUCCCCCUUGGCCAGGCCAAGAAGAGGAUGGCAAAUAGACGAGGCCUUCUCUCCUCCCCGACAUGAUUUUUUUGGCCCUUGUGGUUUUGCAAAAGAAAUAAACAAGCUUAAGUGAACACAAAUAGGAACAAAUGCCUUGAUUCGGAGCUGCAGCCUGGGUGGGGAUCACAUGCUGGGCCUCCGUAUACUGAGAGCCUUUGCUGUCAGUGACCACAGAAAGGCUGGAGUGGGCGCCCGGGCCAGCACUAGGCUCAAUCAACAGUUACUUUUGUCAUCAAGCACGGGCCUCAGGAGUCUGGAGUGAAAUGGGCAGAAAGAGCCAGAAUAUGAAAACUUCUUCGAGGGACGCCUUCAGAUUGAUGGAGGCAGGAAGACAGAUCAGGCCGGACCUCAUCUCCGAGAUAUAUUCCCAGAAGUGAGAUUACUGGAUCAAAGGAGAGAAGUUGAGCUCCAGUCCUUCUAUUCCUCCAUCUUAAUCCAAGAUCGCAGGAGUUGUUGCUGAACAAGGAUGAGACCCAGAUGUCCCAGCUCCAAUCCUGGCAAAGGAGAACCCAGGGCAGCGUCCGCUGUCCUUAGAUAUUUGCAUGGCUGGGAGAAGCCACAGAAAUUGGCUGGAGAAUGUUUGCAGACCUGGGUCAUCAUCUGAACCAUUUGCUGAGCUCUAAAAACAGGGAUCCCUGGGCUACCAUUCUUUGGAGGAACUAAUGAGCCGUGAAUGCCUCUCCGCUCUGCCAGCUUCAUGCCACCUCAUGACUGCUGCCACCUGCUCAAGAAGAUGGAGGCCUGGAGUUCCCAUCAUGGCUCAGUGGUAAUGAACCCAACUAGUAUCCAUGAGGACAUGGGUCAAUCUCUGGUCUCGCUCAGUGGGUUAAGGACCUGGCAUUGCUGUGGCUGUGGUGAAGUCCGGCAGCUAUAGCUCCUAUUCAACUCUUGGCCCAGGAACUUCCACAUGCUGGAGGUGAGGCCCCAAAAAGACAAAAGAAAAAAAAAAAAAGGAUGGAGGCCUGUGGUCAUCCAGGCAGGUGUGUGAAGUGGAGGCACAGACUGGGGGUGACAAGGCAAAGGUGGCCCUUGCAGACAGGCUGGAGCUGGUUUGGGGCUCUGGAAAGGAUGGAUGCCCCAGCCCAGCCCGCUGGUAGGUUGCAGCUGCUGCUCUGACCUCCUUGCCUUUUCCUCUUCACCCCGUUCCUGGAAACCUCUCCCCUUGGGACCACCAGACAUAUGGUGCACGGGCUCCUGGGACUGUCCUGUAGCUCUUCUGCUCCCACUCCCUGCCCUCCAUGGGUGCCAGGGGAGGCUCCCCAGUCUCUGCUGAGCCCUGUGCUGACUCUGCCUUCUGUCAUUUUUUAUUUUUUAGCCACACCUGCAGCAUGUGGAAGUUCCUGGACCAGGAAUCAAACCCACACCACAGCAGUGACCUGAGCCACUGCAGUGACAAUGCCAGAUCCUUAACCCACUGCACCGUAAGGGAACUCUGCCUUCGGUCUUUAGCCUGAUGCUAUCAUCAUGAUUUCCAUCCCGGCUGUUACCAAGGAAGGAAGAGGAGGUAGAGGAAGUGGAGGGGGAGGAGGAGGAAGAGGGGGGGUUAAGGAAGAGGAGAAGGAGGGGUCAUUGACUCACAGGGGACACUCCCUCCCAUGGAGCUGUGGAACUAGAGUGACCAACCAUUUCAGUUUGCCUGGGACCAAAGAGGUUCCUGGGAGGUGGAACUUGGAGUUUUUAAACUUAGAAAGUCCUUGGCAAGCUGGCAUCAGUUGGUCACCCUCUGUGGAAAGCCAGAGUUGAAUAGGGCCAGAGGCAGUACCUGGCUGUUCUGGAACAGAACCUGCCUCUCCUGCUCUCCCGAGCCUCUCCGGGAAUGCAGCUUUGCAGUCACUUGGCCGCGUGAACCUGGGUGUGGCUCCUGGGAAUGAAGUCUCUGUUUGCCUCUGCACUCAGAGUUCCUCUGGUGAAUUCCAUGUUCCAAGAACUGGUAUGCUUGGAACCUUGGCAAUGCCCUGAGAACCAGAUGUCUGCAUUUCUCUGGCACCAUCCCAUUCCUUGGGUCAGGGCCCAGAGCCUAUCCCUGAGAGCUGAAGGUCCAAACCAGAGAAGCAGAUGCACUGUCAGGUUCAAGGGUGGGGCAGGAAGCGAAGAGGUCAAGGACUUCUAAGAGCAGGAGACAAAGCCAGUCAGGAGUUGAGAAGAUCCAGAAGGAAUACUGUUGAUCCUGUGGUCCACGAGAGGGUGGGCUUUGUUAGAGGACAAGAAUAAAUGGGCAGACAGCCCUAGCCAGACAUCACAUGUCACCCCCUCACACUGGGCAACAUGGUUGGACUUCCGGAAGGCACGCAGUCUGAGCGACGAUGGCGAAUGUUGGCUGCGUGCCAGCACUGUGCUCGACCACGCGUAGGUAGGAUGCAGAACUGAAUUCCGUGAAUGCAAGCUUCAUGAGGCAGAGAGCCUGCUCAUCCUUUUCAUUCCUGUUUUCUGAGCACCAGAUAACACUAGCGGACACUUACUGAGCGCUUAUUAUGUGCCAGGCCUUGUUCUAAGACAUUUUAAAAGGCAGCUUUAGUGAGAUAUAAUCCAUAUACCGUACAAUUCACCAAUUUAAAUGUACAGUGGCUCUUAGUAUAUUCACAGAGUUGUGCAACCAUUACCACCAUCAAUUUUAGAACAUUUUCACUACCCUAAAAAGAAACCGCGCACCCCCUAGCCGUCCCUCUUCAUUCUCCCUCCCCCGCCGAGGCAUCUACUAAUCCACUUUCUGUCUCUUUAGAUUCCUCUGUUCUGGACAUGUCAUAUAAAUGGAAUCAUGCAAUAUCUGAUUUUUCAUGACUGGAUUCUUCCACUUAGCAUAAUGUUCUCAAGGCUGAUCCUUACUGUAGUAUCUGUCAGGACUUCAUUCCUCUCUAUUGCUGGAUAAUCUUCUAUUGUGUGGAUAUAUCACAUUUUAUUUAUCCAUUCAUCAGAUGGACAUUUGGGUUUUUUCUCCUUUUUGGCUGUUAUGAACAUGUGUGGUUUUGUGUUCUCAUUCCUUGUUCUCAGAAACUGCUAUAAAAACAUAAUUUAAUCCUUAAAACCCUGCAAGAUAGGUAAUAUUAUCCCUAAGGCUCAGAGAGGUUAAUUACCUUGCCCAAGGUUACACAGCUUGCCAGUGGUGGAGCUGAGACAGGUAGAGGCAGUCUUGCCCCAGAGCCUGAGCCCACAACCACUCUGCUCUAUGACCUGGAAGAAUGCCUGGCACAUCCAAUAAGUAUUUACGGAAUGAAUGGCUAAGGUUAGACUGGGGCUGUGCUCUCCAGAGACUCAUAAUGUGGUUGCCUUCUUGCAGACAGCUCCUAAUUAAUCUCUGCAAUACUCUCGGGGUUGGCAAUGGGGAGAGGAGGACAUUGGCAGGAGUCAGCUGUUAAAAAGUUGAAUGUGGUUGCUGCCAAUUGUGUAUAGGGUCCCUUUCGGCCAGGGCUGAGGCUGCAGAUUCCUAAGGGAGAGAAGAGCCAGUAUAGGGGCCUAGAAGUCUCAAGAAGUUACAGAAAACUUCCUCUUUAGAGAGGCAAACAGGAAAUCUGCUUUUUUGGUGGUUGUUUUUUUUAAGUGAGUGAUCCUGAAGUUCAUUUGUGUGCCUGAGGUCCCAGACUGCCUGUUCCAUGUUACCUGUCACCAGAUGACCAGGAGGGCUGAUUCUGGGGUGGGCAGCUGAGCUGAAUCCUCUAGAACAGCCACUAGCAGGCAAUUGCAGAAGGGCAAAGCCAGAGAGGUGGACAUCUCAUCCCAGCUCCGGGUGAGCCGGGAGCUGACUCUUAGCGACAAAGACCCUGGCAGACCACGUUCCACGGAGCCCCGUCCUGCUACCCUGCUGCAUCCUCAGCAAGGCCAGCACCAAGGACCUUGCUCACCAAGCUCCUUUCUGCCUUUUGUACCAGCACCCACUCUUGGCUGUCCUCCACCUCUCCUGCCACUACAGCAUUCUGGGUCCCAGCCUCUUCUCUCUUCCUGCACAAGCCCAAUUGUCUUGUGUUCCCAAUGUUUGCUCAAGCUGUUUGUUCUGUCUGGAAUGGCCCCCCUGGAUUAUUCAAGUUCCAGAUAAAUUCCUGUCUCCUCUGGGAAGCGUUCCCAGUCACUCUGGCCAUAAAGAAUCUUUCCCUCCCUCCAUGAACCCUGCUACUGCCCCCCCCCCGCGCCCCAGCACUUCCCCCUGGUCUGCAGUGGGGAGAAUUAUUUAUGUUUGUCUUCUUCCUGCGGGGCAGGGGUGAAAUUGCAUUUGUGUCUGCUCUUUCCCCAGGCCCGACAUAGUGUCAGCUCAUAGUAGGUGUUCAGUAGACGAGUUGCUGGACUGAGCUGGCCACCUCGAGUGAAGAGUUUGCCCUCAUGUGGCCCAAGUUCACAGAUGGCCAGGGGUCCUCAUGCCUGUUUUGUCUAAUUCUGGCACAAGGACACAUCCCCCUGUGGGGAACGUGGUUUAUUCUAGACUCAAUGAUAAAGGAAAAGCAUACCAUGAAAGAAAAUGCUGUAAAUAUUUUAUUGGAAUUUUUACGAUAGAAGGUAAAAUGAGAAAAAGAAUAUGAGAAAAAGAAUUUUGCUGUACAGCAAAAAAAAAAAAAAAAAAAAAAA